UGGCCCAGAUCGUUUACCGUGAAAAAAUUAGAGUGUUCAAAGCGGGCAGAUAUUUUUCCUGCCACCGAAUACAUUAGCAUGGGAUAAUGGAAUAGGACCCUGACCUCCUAUUUUCAGUUGGUUUUGUUUACAGCGAGGUUAUAUCAGGGUA
rnacentral:rRNA from 2 species